rnacentral:piRNA from 1 species
CUGAAAAUCACCCUGCUUCUAGC